rnacentral:lncRNA from 1 species
UGGAGUUCUAGUGUAAUUAAUCCACAUUUUAAAUGAGGAAUUUUGCUAUUAUGUUUCUUUCACUGAACUUUAUUAUAUACUUGAUAGAAAAAUUAAACAAAGCGUGGGACCAGCUUUCAUUUAAAGGGGCACUAGCUGUCAAAUUCAUGGUCACAGAUUUGACUCAAAUUCUCAUAUUUGAUUUAUAACAAUGUAAAACAUUUAUCAAAACUAUCAAAAGUCUAAAAUAAACAGUUUACAGAGCAUGGGGUAGAUAAUAUAUAGGUUCGUUUCAUGUGUAUUUUAGUCCAGAUGCCAUCUAAUUAACUAUCGAUUUGACCUCAGAUGACCAUAUAAGCGAUGUAAACAUAAAUAAAGAUAUGAAUAGAUUAAACCAACA